CAGUCGCCACGGUAAUACGUAGGGUGCGAGCGUUAAUCGGAAUUACUGGGCGUAAAGCGUGCGCAGGCGGUUCGUUAAGACAGAUGUGAAAUCCCCGGGCUUAACCUGGGAACUGCAUUUGUGACUGGCGAGCUAGAGUAUGGCAGAGGGGGGUAGAAUUCCGCGUGUAGCAGUGAAAUGCGUAGAGAUGUGGAGGAAUACCGAUGGCGAAGGCAGCCCCCUGGGCCAAUACUGACGCUCAUGCACGAAAGCGUGGGGAGCAAACAAGAUUAGAUACCCGCGUAGUCCCUGUCUCUUAUAC
rnacentral:rRNA from 1 species